rnacentral:rRNA from 1 species
UAUGGCUCAGGAUGAACGCUAGCUACAGGCUUAACACAUGCAAGUCGAGGGGGUAACAGGAGAGAAGCUUGCUUUCUUGCUGACGACCGGCGCACGGGUGAGUAACGCGUAUCCAACCUUCCCCUUAGUAGCGGAUAGCCCGGCGAAAGUCGGAUUAAUACGCUAUGUUCUUCGUUGAUGGCAUCUGAUGUGAAGCAAAGAUUUAUCGCUAAGGGAUGGGGAUGCGUCUGAUUAGGUAGUCGGCGGGGUAACGGCCCACCGAGCCAUCGAUCAGUAGGGGUUCUGAGAGGAAGGUCCCCCACACUGGUACUGAGACACGGACCAGACUCCUACGGGAGGCAGCAGUGAGGAAUAUUGGUCAAUGGGCGCGAGCCUGAACCAGCCAAGUAGCGUGCAGGGAAUGGCUGCCCUAUGGGUUGUAAACUGCUUUUAUCAGGGAAUAAAGUGAGGCACGUGUGCCUUUUUGUAUGUACCUGAUGAAUAAGGACCGGCUAAUUCCGUGCCAGCCGCCGC